GCCAGGCGUGGUGGCGCAUGCCUGUAAUCCCAGCUACUUGGGAGGCUAAGGCAGGAGAAUUGCUUGAACACAGGAGGCAGAGGUUGCAGUGAGCUGAGAUCAAGCCACUGAACUCCAGCCUGGGCCACAGAGCAAGACUCUGUCUCAA
rnacentral:SRP_RNA from 1 species